rnacentral:rRNA from 1 species
AGAGUUUGAUCCUGGCUCAGGACGAACGCUGGCGGCGUGCUUAACACAUGCAAGUCGAGCGGAAAGGCCCUUCGGGGUACUCGAGCGGCGAACGGGUGAGUAACACGUGAGCAACCUGCCCUUAGCUCUGGGAUAGCUCCGGGAAACCGGAAUUAAUACCGGAUAUGACCAUGGCCGACAUCGGUUGUGGUGGAAAGAUUUAUCGGCUGGGGAUGGGCUCGCGGCCUAUCAGCUUGUUGGUGGGGUAAUGGCCUACCAAGGCGACGACGGGUAGCCGGCCUGAGAGGGCGACCGGCCACACUGGGACUGAGACACGGCCCAGACUCCUACGGGAGGCAGCAGUGGGGAAUAUUGCGCAAUGGGCGGAAGCCUGACGCAGCGACGCCGCGUGGGGGAUGAAGGCCUUCGGGUUGUAAACCCCUUUCGGCAGGGACGAAGCGGAAGUGACGGUACCUGCAGAAGAAGCACCGGCUAACUACGUGCCAGCAGCCGCGGUAACACGUAGGGUGCAAGCGUUGUCCGGAAUCAUUGGGCGUAAAGAGCUCGUAGGCGGUCUGUCACGUCUGCUGUGAAAACUCGGGGCUUAACCCCGAGCUUGCAGUGGAUACGGGCAGACUAGAGGUAGGUAGGGGAGAAUGGAAUUCCCGGUGUAGCGGUGAAAUGCGCAGAUAUCGGGAGGAACACCGGUGGCGAAGGCGCUCUGGCCUUACCUGACGCUGAGGAGCGAAAGCGUGGGGAGCGAACAGGAUUAGAUACCCCGGUAGUCC